GUACCAGAGUAAUGAGCUUACACAACAAGUUUGGUGCGUGAGUUUACACAACAAGUCUGGGAACCUAUAGAGGAAGGUCUUGUACCCUUGGAUAUGACUCGCCAUGUAUCAAUGAUCUCAAUUACUUUGUCACCUAAUGAUCUAAACCGGAACUCUCCAGGGUAUCAAGCACCAGUAUUUUUAGAACAACCAAAGAAACAAUACAAAGUGCAUCAUCCAUAAUACCAACAACAGCAGCAACAUCAA